rfam:Gossypium raimondii chromosome 2, whole genome shotgun sequence.
CAUCUAAAUGAUGGAUAUUUUUCAUGUUAAAAGUAGCCUGAUUAUGUUGAUGAUAAUUCCAUUUCUGAUAGAUG